CGGCAAACAGAUCGUCGUGGCCGAUGAAUGCGGUGCGCACGUACUUCGGCAUCUCCGCCACCAGUACGUCGUAUUCGGGGAAGUGGCCGCGGGCGGUAUAGAGCACAGCGGCGUCGUUCGCGAUCGCCUCCGCGAUGAUUCCGUAGCCCGGCUUGGUGACGACGACCUCGGCCGCUCCGACCAGAUCCUCGUAGCGCACACCCGCGUCGUACAUCGCUUCUUCGUUCACGCUGAUGAACGAUCCCUUACGUUCGGCGGUUGGCAUCUCCUUGCGGGUACGGCCCAGAGGAAGGUUCGCUGUGGUGAUCACGGUGUAUUUCUUGAACUUCGCCAGCGCGUCUGUCUCGAGU
rnacentral:misc_RNA from 1 species